rnacentral:tRNA from 1 species
UCUCUCUUAGUACAGUGGUAAUUAUGUCGGCUUGUCGCGCCGAUGACGCAAGUUCGAUUCUCGUAGAGAGAA